CUGAGGUGAGCAGAGACGCUCCUCUCUGCUGCUGACAUAACGGAUUUACUUCCUUUUCUGACGGUGAUUUAAUAUCUUUCUGCUGCAGCGUUGCCACGGUGACUCAUCCGUCUCCAUUCAGUCCUGUCCUCUGCUCCUUCUUCCCUGACUCCAUCCUGUCGUCACAUCCAGAUCCUCUAAGAGACUGUUCUCUUCCUGUUAACCAGUAGCUUCAGUUAUGUUGCAGUUGCAGCUAAUCUGGUUUAAUCUGACCUCCUUUAGUUGAUUUUUGUGUUCUUGUUUUAGCUUCAGAGUGGAUGAACUCACCUUGUGUCAUCAUGCUGUAGCAUCCAAGUUCAGUAAAACAUUAUAUUCGACCUAUAUGUAAAUUUCUGUCUAUCUGAGUUCAAAUAAACUGAUGGAUUAAAUGAAUCUGACCAGAAUAAUAGAGAUUGUAAUAAACUGAAAUGUGCAGGGACGUGUUUUACUGGUUAGAAAUGUUUGUUACCUCCAUCUUUAAGGUCAUUUUCUCUCCUUUGUGAUUUCUGUGUACAUUAUUCUCCUCUUCCUCUGUUCUCCUCCUCAGCUGUUCCACAUUCCCCUGAUUAACUCACCUGCAUUCAGACUCAUUCUCCACCCGGACCUUUACUAUUUAAGCUUUCCGGGUUUUAUUAUUUUUGCUCUCCUUUCCUCUGAUUGUGCUGCAUGUCCUCUUCUCCGCCUGCAUUUUCUGUAGGUAUUCUGUUUUAUUUUUUAUUAAUCUCCACCCUGAUCCUUCCAGACUUUCUUCUGAACAUACAUAAAAAACAAUACAUCUGCAGAUCUGUUAGUUCAUCUAAAUUCAAUAAAUGAUCAUAACUGACAGACCAAAACACAGAUUGAAGCUCUUAUCUUUUCUAGUUGGACAAGUUGAAAAAAAUUUUCAUUUUACCGUUAUUAAAAUCUCCCAUCAGCAACCAGGAAGCUUCAGAGGAAUAAAUUUGGUUCAAAUUUAAUUAUGGGAUUUCAGUUCAAAUCUGAUUCCAGUCUAUUCAUAAAGGAUUAUAAUAUAAUUAGUUAUAAAUUAAGAUGAGUGAUAAAGCUUUAAUGGAGCUGGAUUGAACUGGACUGCUUGUAAUCUGCAGUGAUGCAGCUGGAUAUGAGAUGAUGUGAGCUUUAGCUUCAUGUUUUCAGGAUAAAUAAUAUCAAAGCUUGAACACUUAUUUUAUUUGACUUAAGCAAUAUUUUUUUGACCCAAAUGAAACGUCUAUCUGCACUGAAUUCGGCUUAAUGUACAACAGAUUAAACUCACAAACAAAACCUCCGAAUGAUUCAUUCAUGCAGCUUUGCAUCGUCAGAGAUCUCCUGCCUACAAAAACAAGCCUCUGAAACUGAAAACCUCUUGGAACAGAAAUGUUUUACCUUUUCAUACUAACUGUCUUAUCAGAGUUCAGUGAAUCCAUUUCAAAUUGAUCUCAAGAUGAAAGCUUUGUUUAUUCAGAGAAAUGUGAAGGAAAUCUUCACAAUGAGUCACAUUAAUGCCACUCUGAUAAACUCAAAAGAAUAAAGUAAAAUAUUUAUA